rnacentral:lncRNA from 1 species
AAUACACCCAAAACACACCCAAAAAUCACCCAAAAUAAAUGUAAAACACACCCAAAAUACACCCAAAAAUACACCCAAAAUACACCCGAAAUACACCUGGGAUACACCCAAAAUACACCUGGGGGCACCUGGGCACAGCUGGGCUCUGACCUGGUAUAACCUGGCACACACCUGGGGGGGGGUAAAAACACACCUGGGCACACCUGUGUCACCAAUCACACCUGUCAGUGUCACACCUGCAGUGUCACACCUGUCUCUCACCUGUAUCUCACCUGUCUCUCACCUGUAUCUCACCUGUACAGAUCCAGUCCCACACUGAUGAGUCUCAGUACUGCGCGUUGCUGUGUGUGUCACACCUGUCACACCUGUGUCACACCUGUCUGUCUCUCACCUGUUACCUGUUAUCUGUGCAGAUCCAGUCCCACAGUGACGAGUCCCAGCACUGCGCGUUGCUGUGUGUGACACACCUGUGUCACACCUGUCACACCUGUGUCACACCUGUCACACCUGUGUCUCACCUGUGCAGAUCCAGGCUCACAGUGACAAGUCCCAGCACUGCGCGUUGCUGUCACACCUGUGUCACACCUGUCACACCUGUCACACCUGUCACACCUGUCACACCUGUGUCACACCUGUCUCUCACCUGUUACCUGUGCAGAUCCAGGCUCACAGUGACGAGUCCCAGUACUGCGCGUUGCUGUCACACCUGUGUCACACCUGUCACACCUGUCACACCUGUAUCUAUCUCACCUGUAGAUCCAGUCCCACACCGAUGAGUCUCAGUAGUGCGCGUUGCUGUGUCACACCUGUCACACCUGUCACACCUGUAUCACACCUGUCUGUAUCUCACCUGUGUCUCACCUGCAGAUCCAGUCUCACACCGAUGAGUCCCAGUACUGCGCGUUGCUGUCACACCUGUCAGUGUCACACCUGUCACACCUGUAUCUCACCUGUCUGUCUCUCACCUGUUACCUGUCUCAGAUCCAGUCCCACAGUGACGAGUCCCAGUACUGCGCGUUGCUGUCACACCUGUCAGUAUCACACCUGUCUCACACCUGUAUCUCAGCUGUGUCUCACCUGUAGAUCCAGUCCCACAGUGAUGAGUCCCAGUACUGCGCGUUGCUGCGGCAGCUGCUGGAGGAUCACAAGGACGUGGUGACGCUGCUGGCGGAGGGGCUGAGGGAGUGCCGGAGACACAUACAGGUAACUGAGACAGGUAACUGACACACCUGAGAUAGAUAAUCACACCUGGGAUACACCUGAGACACACCUGGUACACACCUGUGUUAGAUAAACACAGCCACACACACCUGUGUUACACACACACUGCUGGCGGAGGGGCUGAGGGAGUGCCGGAGACACAUACAGGUAACUGAGAUACACCUGAGACAGGUAACUGACACACCUGGGACACACCUGAGAUAGAUAAACACACCUGGGAUACACCUGGGACACACCUGGGACACACCUGUGUUACACACACGCUGCUGGCGGAGGGGCUGAGGGAGUGCCGGAGACACAUACAGGUAACUGACACACCUGGGACAGGUAACACACCUGGGACACACCUGAGACACACCUGAGAUACACCUGGGACACACCUGGGACACACCUGUGUUACACACACGCUGCUGGCGGAGGGGCUGAGGGAGUGCCGGAGACACAUACAGGUAACUGAGAUACACCUGAGACAGGUAACUGACACACCUGGGACACACCUGGGACACACCUGGGACAGGUAACACACCUGGGACAGGUAACACACCUGGGACACACCUGGGACAGGUAACUGACACACCUGGGACACACCUGAGACACACCUGGGACAGGUAACACACACCUGUGUUAGAUAAACACACCCACACACACCUGUGUUACACACACGCUGCUGGCGGAGGGGCUGAGGGAGUGCCAGAGACACAUACAGGUAACACACCUGGGACAGGUACCUGACACACCUGGGACACACCUGGGACACACCUGAGAUAGAUAAACACACCUGGGAUAGAUAAACACACCCACACACACCUGUGUUACACACACACUGCUGGCGGAGGGGCUGAGGGAGUGCCGGAGACACAUACAGGUAACUGACACACCUGGGACACACCUGGGACAGGUAACACACCUGGGACACACCUGAGACACACCUGAGACAC